CGAGUAAGGGGCGGUGGUAGCGUCUGCUCGGUUACAAAUGGCCCCUCCCGCCCCGCUCGCCCGCUCGCUCGGGCUCGGCGCGGACCCGCCCGGGCGCACUCCUCCCAGUGGCUCUCGGCGUCCCGGCGUCCCGCCGCCCUGCCCGGAGCCGGCCGCGGUCCCCUCUACCCCUGAGGGCACUCCCGGCACCCAGCACAGAGGCUCGCCCGGGGAGGUCGCGACGGGAGGCUGGCCCGCGGUGGCCCGCGGCUCGCCUACCCGCAGGUGUUCCUUUGAUACAGUGGAUGGUGACUCUGCUGUUCUGCCUGGGAGUGGUUCAAAAUGCUGACCACACUCCUGCUCCUGUUCCUGACCCAAGGAAGCCCCCAUGCAGAGCACCCGUGUCCUCUCUGAAUGGGACCAGCAGCUGGAUGCUGAGUACCAAUAGCAUCUGCCCUGAUUUCCUUUGAGGAUGGAGAGCAGAGCCAAGCUGCAGGGCCUGGUGUUCCAGCUGCUGUGCAGCCCUGGGCUGCCAGGGCACUCCGUGAUGGCCUUUGUCCUUAGCAUCACCAUCUCCUAAGACACAUAGAAGAGUGGGACAGUAACAGAAGGACACAAAAGAUACCGAAUCCGAGGAAGGCCCUGAAGGUCCAGUAACUUUGCCCUAGGGACACAGGUGAAUCUUAGGAAGAGCCCUGGAGGGCAGCUGCCAGCCGAAGGGCAGGGCGGGGCGCUGUUUUCGCCAUGACCACCUGAUCUCUUCUCGGCUCUUCUUGGUGUGCACGACUGCUCCACUCGUCCGCGUUAACUCUCAUGAUGUGUUUGGGAUGCGCUCCCCCUCUUUGUAGGACUGAGUCAGGGAGAUGUUCUCCCUCCUCGGAGGAUUCCAUUCUGAGCCCAGUCGCCUUAGUAGAUGCGGGAGCUACUCCACGUGGCCUUUGAGGUCUGGGUACCCUGGGCAAAUUGAGAGGGAGGGGGUCUUGGCAGAGUAACCACUCAGAACUCAAGGUAAGAACCGUCCAUCUCUGGUUUUUGUGUUUGGCAGUAGAGGCAUGGGAACCCCUGCAUUCCUCGCAUGUGAGUAUCAGGACUUGAGGAAAAAUCUGUACUCAGAACUUGGUUGCCAGUGGGGAGGGGGGAGGGGGGAGGUAGAGGUAGGGGAUUAAGAGGUACAAACUGUUGGGUAUAAAAUGAGCUACAAGAGGCGUUCCCUUCGUGGCUCAGCAGUUAAUGAACAUGACUAGGAUCCAUGAGGAUGUGGGUUUGAUCCCUGGCCUCGCUCAGUGGGUUAAGGAUCUGGCUUAGGUGUAGAUCACAGAUGCAGCUCCAAUCCCGUGCUGCUGUGGCUGUGGUGUCAGCUGGCAGCUCUAGCUCUGAUUCUACCCCUAGCCUGGGAACUUCCAUAUGCCGUGGAUGUGGCCCUAAAAAGACAAAAAUAAGCUAGAAGGAUAUAUUGUACAAUAUGGGGAAUAUGGCACAUAUUUUAUAUAUAUUUCAAAAUUGCAAAUCACUAUAUUGCACACCUCUAGGAGUUCCCACUGUGGUGCAAUGGGAUCGGUGGUGUCCCGGAGCACCAGGACACAGGUUUGAUCCCCAGCCCAGCACAGUGGGUUAAGGAUCCAGCACUGCCGCAACUGUGGCACAGAUUCAAUCCCUGGCCUGGGAACUCCAUACAUGGGGUGGCCAAAAAAGAAAACAAAAUAAAAACCUAUACUUAUAAAAAGGAAAAGAAAAA
rnacentral:lncRNA from 1 species